rnacentral:rRNA from 1 species
UGGGGAAUAUUGGACAAUGGGCGCAAGCCUGAUCCAGCAAUGCCGCGUGUGUGAAGAAGGCCUUCGGGUUGUAAAGCACUUUUAUCAGGAGCGAAACGCUGUCGGCUAAUACCCGGCGGAACUGACGGUACCUGAGGAAUAAGCACCGGCUAACUUCGUGCCAGCAGCCGCGGUAAUACGAAGGGUGCAAGCGUUAAUCGGAAUUACUGGGCGUAAAGCGUGCGUAGGCGGUUUCUUAAGUCUGCUGUGAAAUCCCCGGGCUCAACCUGGGAAUGGCAGUGGAUACUGGGAGGCUAGAGUGUGUCAGAGGGUGGUGGAAUUCCCGGUGUAGCGGUGAAAUGCGUAGAGAUCGGGAGGAACAUCAGUAGCGAAGGCGGCCACCUGGGACAACACUGACGCUGAGGCACGAAAGCGUGGGGAGCAAACAGGAUUAGAUACCCUGGUAGUCCACGCCCUAAACGAUGCGAACUGGAUGUUGGUCUCAACUCGGAGAUCAGUGUCGAAGCUAACGCGUUAAGUUCGCCGCCUGGGGAGUACGGUCGCAAGACUGAAACUCAAAGGAAUUGACGGGGUCAUAGCUGUUUCCUG